rnacentral:rRNA from 1 species
UAGGGAAUCUUCCGCAAUGGGCGAAAGCCUGACGGAGCAACGCCGCGUGAGUGAUGAAGGUCUUCGGAUCGUAAAACUCUGUUAUUAGGGAAGAACAAAUGUGUAAGUAACUAUGCACGUCUUGACGGUACCUAAUCAGAAAGCCACGGCUAACUACGUGCCAGCAGCCGCGGUAAUACGUAGGUGGCAAGCGUUAUCCGGAAUUAUUGGGCGUAAAGCGCGCGUAGGCGGUUUUUUAAGUCGGAUGUGAAAGCCCACGGCUCAACCGUGGAGGGUCAUUGGAAACUGGAAAACUUGAGUGCAGAAGAGGAAGGUGGAAUUCCAUGUGUAGCGGUGAAAUGCGCAGAGAUAUGGAGGAACACCAGUGGCGAAGGCGACUUUCUGGUCUGUAACUGACGCUGAUGUGCGAAAGCGUGGGGAUCAAACAGG